AGCUCCAAUAGCGUAUAUUAAAGUUGUUGCAGUUAAAAAGCUCGUAGUUGGAUUUCUGGUAGAGGGUUAAGGCCCACUUGUGUGGUGCCGCAAUCCUUUGCCAUCCUUCUGUUAACCUUCGCGUCAUUUAACCGUCGCUUUGGGGCUCAGAUAUUUUACCUUGAGAAAAUUAGAGUGUUUCAGGCAGGCUAGUGCCCGGAUACAUUAGCAUGGAAUAAUGGAAUAGGACUUUAGCCUCUUCUGUUGGUCUGAGGGGUUGAAGUAAUGAUUAAUAGGGAUAGUUGGGGGCAUUAGUACUUAACUGUCAGAGGUGAAAUUCUCGGAUUUGUUAAAGACUAACCUAUGCGAAAGCAUUUGCCAAGGAUGUUUUCA
rnacentral:rRNA from 1 species